GGCGAGUAAGAAGGUCCCACAUGUAGUAGCAAUAGUGUCUAGGGAGCAUCACUGUGACGGAUGGGGCAGGUAGGUCAUGCAGUGCCUAGGGUGGAGGCAUAGUGCCAUGACACUGCCCACAGCAUUGCCCUGUGCCCAACUUCCAACCCGAAUCCUGGCCUGAUUGCAAAAAAUCUGGUCAUUUUUAACCAGCUUUCCAAGCACUGCUGCUGACUGUCAAAAUUGUUAAAUGUUUAAAAAGCCCAAAGUCAGGCAGUACUGGUUACUCCCAAUGCACUCUGUGGAUGUAGCAAUACUUUUGUAGGAUUUCUAGCACACUUGCAGACAGUACAACACUUUCAAAUAUAAGUCUCAUCUAUUUGCAUCAAACAUCCUCCUUUGCAGUUUAUGGCUAUGUAAAUCUCUUUAAUAAAAUCCUUACCACAGGAAAUGUCUUAAGACAACUGCUAUUUCACAGCUUCACUACAGGUUCCUAAUGUAAGUUAAUAAGGCAAACACAAUACCUGACGUUUGCAAUGGUAAUUGCACAGGCCUCAGUGUGAAUGAUGGAUAAAUACGAUUGUGCAUGACUUCCUUUGCGGAGCAUCUGAAUUAUAGCAUAGGCUGAAGUCUGAAAAAUCAACGGCUGCUAUAAUCACUCAAUUAAAGCCUUUGAAAAUCAUUAGCAAUUUGGUAAAUUUAAAAUACUUAACCAUACGUCAUUUUUAAACAGAGAGUGCCAGACCAGCACAACUCCAUUUGUUACAGCGGGGAACUGCUGCCGGAGGGGUAAACAGGAACAGCAUUAGAGCACCAUGGCUGAGUAGCCUGCUCUCUGGAAGCAGUGGCAUCUUAGUGCAGCAGCACCACUAUUCUAAAUAUAUGGUCCGUCUGUCUGAGAAGAGAGAGACACUCCGAGAGAAUGAGCAAGCUGACAGGCACCGGCCAGCGCCCCAGCGCCUCGUGCUCCCCUAGGGCUGAUGGACUUAACGUGAGUGCUACUCAACUUUGUGCAGCUUAGGCAGAUUAAUGAAUUUGAGAGAGAUGGAGUGUGGGGCUAGGAGCAGCUACUUCUCUUAAUCUGUUGAAACUUCUAAUUUUUAAUAAUUUGGGGGUAAAACUAGGCUUUAAAACGAAUUGUCUGUCCUUACAGUGCAAA
rnacentral:lncRNA from 1 species